AGUGGACGCUGGCGGUAGGCCUAACACAUGCAAGUCGAACGGCAGCACAGUAAGAGCUUGCUCUUACGGGUGGCGAGUGGCGGACGGGUGAGGAAUACAUCGGAAUCUACUUUUUCGUGGGGGAUAACGUAGGGAAACUUACGCUAAUACCGCAUACGACCUACGGGUGAAAGCAGGGGAUCUUCGGACCUUGCGCGAUUGAAUGAGCCGAUGUCGGAUUAGCUAGUUGGCGGGGUAAAGGCCCACCAAGGCGACGAUCCGUAGCUGGUCUGAGAGGUUGAUCAGCCACACUGGAACUGAGACACGGUCCAGACUCCUACGGGAGGCAGCAGUGGGGAAUAUUGGACAAUGGGCGCAAGCCUGAUCCAGCCAUACCGCGUGGGUGAAGAAGGCCUUCGGGUUGUAAAGCCCUUUUGUUGGGAAAGAAAAGCAGCAGGUUAAUACCCCGCUGUUCUGACGGUACCCAAAGAAUAAGCACCGGCUAACUUCGUG
rnacentral:rRNA from 1 species